CUGAUCUAAGUUCAGUUUGUUUUUGUUGUCUGUAUUUUUCAGGUGUUCGUGGAGUUCAGCAAGAACCAAAAGCAGGAAUUCUACGAGAGAAUCGAUCGGCUCGGUCCUCGUCUCCUCGAGUUAUUUCCAUCCAAGAGAGACUACAGAGCCAACUGUGAUCGGGACACAGGUGCUCAGAGGACUUCCUGUCAUCCUACGGGACAAUCCCACAAACGUCUUCAAAUAAAAGCAGACUUUAUGAUGAUGGUUCUUCUCGUGAGCUUGAUAUUGGGAUACUUCUCGUUGAGCGUGAAGGUGCUGGGCUCACAUCUUCUCAGCAUCUCAGUCCAGCCUCGCUGAACAUCAUCAGAGGGAGAAGUCGUGAUGGACAACAUUCAAGAUCUGCCAAAAGCAAUGUGCGUUCUGUUUGGACUCACGUAUGCUCUCCAUCUUAACAACCCAGGACUAUGGAGCUCACAUUUCAGCUCCUCCAGCAGGUACUGAUCUUGUUAGGCCUCACUGACCUAAAGACGAAGAUACAGACUUUGAAAAAUCAGCUCGCAAUGUCCAUCUGAGUGGGGGUGUCUUGUGACUUUAGUUUUGUUUAUGGAUUUACCACUUUAAUCUCAGGGGACAUCCAUGUUUUUAAUACACACACGGACAACA